rnacentral:tRNA from 1 species
GGGCAUGUAGCCUGGCGGUUAAGGCACUGGACUAGCACUCAAGAAACCUGCGUUCAAAGCCCAGUUUUUCCA